rnacentral:rRNA from 1 species
ACGAACGCUGGCGGCGUGCUUAACCCAUGCAAGUCGAACGGAAAGGCCCUGCUUUUGUGGGGUGCUCGAGUGGCGAACGGGUGAGUAACACGUGAGUAACCUGCCCUUGACUUUGGGAUAACUUCAGGAAACUGGGGCUAAUACCGGAUAGGAGCUCCUGCUGCAUGGUGGGGGUUGGAAAGUUUCGGCGGUUGGGGAUGGACUCGCGGCUUAUCAGCUUGUUGGUGGGGUAGUGGCUUACCAAGGCUUUGACGGGUAGCCGGCCUGAGAGGGUGACCGGCCACAUUGGGACUGAGAUACGGCCCAGACUCCUACGGGAGGCAGCAGUGGGGAAUAUUGCACAAUGGGCGGAAGCCUGAUGCAGCAACGCCGCGUGCGGGAUGACGGCCUUCGGGUUGUAAACCGCUUUCGCCUGUGACGAAGCGUGAGUGACGGUAAUGGGUAAAGAAGCACCAGCUAACUACGU